rnacentral:lncRNA from 1 species
GUGGUGCUUCUGGGACAAGACACUCGACUCUCUUAGAUAUCUAAAUUUCACUUUGAAAUAACUCAAUCAGUAUAAAAAGGCAUCUGCUAUCAUCACUGGAAAGUAGAAAAGGUCCAUCCAGCUCCCUAAAAUUUAAAGGAGUAUUUUUCAAAAUAAAAGGUUCAGGGUGAACUAAGAAAAAUGGAACACGAGCCAAACAUAUUUCAUUGUGUACCAAAGGGAAGUCUACUGCAAUAAUAAGUGAGAAGUUCCCAUCUUUUCUCCUACUGUCUGCUUGCAUUCUAUCACAGCAGGAACCAGAAGUAAGGACAGGAGGCAGUGUGCACCGUGGGGAGAGACGGAUCUUACCACUCUCAGAUCAUCAAAUCUGCUCCACUGACCAUGGCAAGUGGGCAUCCCAGAGAUCUGCUCACAGCUUUUUCUCCCCACCUAAUGUGGCCCCAUGUCUGUCAUUUCCCCACAUCAUGUGGAAGUAGGUCUUCUUUCUUUCAGAUAGCCCGUUUUUCCCAUAGUUCAAAUCCUUCUGCAAUGAGGUCUCAGACCAUAUUGUACCCCCCGCCCCCACACUUUGCAGAAUUGUUGAGAGGUAUUUUAUAUUUGUUUGCAUAAUUAUUUGAUUAAUUUCUGUAUCUCAUGCUAAACUGCAAGCUUCGUGAAGGUAAGUUUCUCAUCUGCUUUUACUCACUACUUUAUUAUAGCCAGCACAGUUCCAGUUAUGUUGUAGACAAUCAAUAAACAUGUUGAAGAAAAGAAGAGUAGCUGAUCUUUAUUGGUAGUUUUGAGAUAACAAAGGAUGAAUGCACUCCAGCAAAACAACUUGAAAUUGUGUGUUAGAAACCAUUGCUUUAACAUUCAUCAGUCAUUCUCUGCCAUAGGCAAUAUUUCCACUGGCUAUGUCACACUUAGAUCCCAAAUUACUACAAUCUUAUUCAUUAUCUUUCUACUGCUACCUCAGGUUCUAGUCAACCAAAUCUAACUCCUUUUCUUUGCAAAAUAAAUACUUCGUAAUUUUGUUUUUGCUUUUGUAUCUUCUUAUGAGCUUGCUAUUAGGUGAGGAGUGUUUCCCAUUUACACUUAGGGUCAUCACAAAGCUAUUUUCUCAAUGAAUGGUGACAAAGUGUAAAAUCAGAGUGAUAACUAUUUGUCUAAAUGAAAAUUUCCAAAUUAAUAUACUUCCAAAUUCAUAUAUUUUUUAUUCCUAUAUGAAUUUCCAAAUUCAUAUAUUUCCUCUGAAUUUCCAAAUUCAUAUAUUUCUUAUUCUUAAGUUCACAUGCAUGUGUGUGUAUAUAUAUGUGUGUGUGUGUAUAUAGUGUGCAUAUAUAUAUAUAUCCCAGGAGUGAUGCGUUAGGUCUUUAGGGGUAUCAUAGAAGGAGUUAUCUGAAGCAAAUGCCGUCAACUCUAUUGCUGCGCUUAGUGGGUAUUGGAACUUCGGUUAUAGAAUAGAUUGUUGGAAUUUCUGAAAUGUAGUUUCUGAAAUGUCUGCAGUGUACUUAGGUAAUAGUAAGAAAGUUUGUAUUUAUAAAAAUGUUUUAAAUAACUAAAUUUUGAUGAUGAUCUCUUUCCUCUUCCUAAUUUUUCAAUAAAGCAAUCCAAGUACAUCUUGCUUGAUACAGAUUUCUAAACGUCAGCUCAAAUCAUAUCAAUUUUGAAACAUUAAUAACUUCACUUACCAUAUAAUUUAACUCACACUAUGAAAUUAAAAUCCUUAAAACACAAGAAGACUUACAUUGUAUCUGUUUUCUUCCACCAAUACUUAAAUUACUGUCUCUCCACUACACAUAUGAUUGGAAUAAAUAAGACACUGAUAUCACCAAACAUAUAUAAUUUUUUUACUGACAAAAAUCAAACACUGAAGGAGGCAAUAUAUCUUUUUAUUCUCAGAUAGUCUAGCCUAUUCACCACUGAUGAAACCGUUACUCAUAAGGAUAUUCAUGCUACUUGGAACCUCCAUACAUUUGAGCUAGGGUUCACUUCUGUGUAGUUCCAUAUCUAAAAUAGGGAGCUCUUUUUCAGCACAGAUCCUGCAUGGAGCAAUGGACUCUACAUGCUUUGCUAUGUCAUUAACUAAAUCUGCACCAGAAACUUUUCUCUAUAGCCCUGGCAUUAAAUAAUCUUUUCUAAUUCUAACA